rnacentral:rRNA from 1 species
GAUGAACGCUGGCGGUAUGCCUAACACAUGCAAGUCGAACGGAACCUUCGGGUUUAGUGGCGGACGGGUGAGUAACGCGUGAGAAACUGCCUUUUGGACGGGGACAACAGUUGGAAACGACUGCUAAUACCCGAUAGGCCUAGCGGUCAAAGAUUUAUCGCCAAAAGAUGUGCUCGCGUCAGAUUAGCUAGUUGGUGUGGUAAUGGCGCACCAAGGCGACGAUCUGUAGCUGGUCUGAGAGGAUGAGCAGCCACACUGGGACUGAGACACGGCCCAGACUCCUACGGGAGGCAGCAGUGGGGAAUUUUCCGCAAUGGGCGAAAGCCUGACGGAGCAAUACCGCGUGAGGGAGGAAGGCUCUCGGGUCGUAAACCUCUUUUCUCAAGGAAGACGCAGGACGGUACUUGAGGAAUCAGCAUCGGCUAACUCCGUGCCAGCCGCCGCGGUAAUAC